GCCGCGCGCCGGGCCCCCGAGACGGGGAGGGGCGGGGGCCCGGGGGAGGUGCGCGCGCCGAGUUCCGCGUAACUAGCGGGGACGCGCGCGCGGCGCGGCCUCCCCUCCCCCACCCUCCCCCCACUCCCCUCAGGCCCGCGGCUCCCCGAGGUGGGCUCUUGCGAGGCCUAGCGGGGGCGGGGCCUGGGGCCGGGCUCGAGCCGGGGCGCCCCUCCCCGCCUCCGCCUCCGCCUCCGCCCUCGCCCAGUGCUCUGGCGGCUCGGGCCUGGUCAACGCGAGCUCGGGGCUGGGUAGCCCGCGCCACCGUCAGGUUGCUAGGAUGAUUAUGCAGAUCUCUCAGAUAUAGGGAAAAAAUUCAGCCACCUCACCCAGAUUCUGCAAUCCCUACGAGGCUGCAUCUGAAAUACUGAAGAGAUGAGGACACUGAACUUAGUGAGAAAGGCAGCUAAUCAAUGGCAGAUCAUGUAUGCUUUCCAGUUAUCGUGAAAAUGAAGACCGAGGCUACCUGGCACCUUCGUCAAUCACAUGUGUGGUUUAGAGGCGGGGUCUGGUAUGGAGCAGAGGUGCAAUUAAUAUUCAUUAAAUGGAGAUGUCUUUCUGGCCCCACUCAGCCUUUUUCCGGACCACCCACUUCCCGACUCUUUGCUGUGUGGGAGAAUCCAGACAUCUUGUACAGCUGCAGCUCAGUGUGUCCCAUUUUGGCUGGAAUUCAAGGAGCAACUAUAGACAAAUAAGUAUUAUUACAACUGCAUCAAUCAACAUCUCUCUCCUCAAAUGCUCUCACGAGGAAACAAGAAUGAUCUCAUCCUCACCAAGGCUCCUAUCGUCCUCUGCCGCAAGGAACAAGGAUGAGGAAUUUGGGCUGCGGCUGGCUGCUGAAGCCACGUGCUGACAGACAAUCCCGGAACAGCUGCAAUGUCAUUGUAAGCCUUGAAAUUAAAAUAAAAUCCAUUGAUUUAUAAGAGGAAAACAGGGUCAACACUAGUGGGGUCAGAAGAACCAAUUCCGAAAGCCCUUGGGUUGGCCUAAAUCCUACAUAUAAAAUGGGUGGUGGAAGUGUUUGCCAUGGAAACCAUCAGAGGGAAGCUGAGGGAAUCCAGGUCUUGGCAGGUGAUUGCAGCCGUUGUUGCUGGCACACAGCACACCAGGGGAAAUAACUGAGGCCUCAGUAAAUAGGAAAUCUGGAGGGGCCAGAGCCUAGGCUCAAUGUAUUUUGUAAGGGGAAGGCUUCCUCACUGAGGAUGGGGAAUCUGCUUUCCAAACUGUAUGGUCAGCAACUUUGUGUAUUUUGUGUCUGUAGGAGUUUAUUUUAGCUCUGUGGUGAAGCUUUUUUUUUUCUUUUUUAACAAAACUUUGAAUAGGGUGCCCACAAGGUAUUUGCUUGCGGCUUUAUUUCCCUCCCUGCCUGGGUAUGGAGAGGUGAGCAGCACUCUUCCCCUGACUCAAGCAAACCCCUUCCUCUCUUUGUGCCUCAAUUUCCCCAUCACACAAUGAGGAUGUGAGAUUAAAUGAGCACUUCCCAGAUGCACUUUUUAGAGAAGUGUUUGAACAAAACUUGGGUGAGGUAUUGGGCGGAUGGGAUUUAAGUGUCCUAGUACUAAGAUGACUGUGUGCAAGUUAAAUUCAAGUUGGCGUGCAAACUGCCUCGGCUUUUGGCUGCAGAGUGAGGGCAAGCUUGACUCCUGUUCCUCACCCCAAAUCUGCACAACUUGGCUUGCUUCUUCCCCCCUGGAUGUUCUCCAAGGUUCUUCCCAGCUCUGACAGGGAGAGCGCUGCUGUAGGCUAUGUGUCCUCAGCCCUCAGAGGUAGCUGUGGCAAUUGCAAUUUCAUUUUUCCUGGAGGACAAGUUCCCCUGGACUAUUGCAGACCGCUGCACAGGCUUUAUUAUGGAA